AAAAAUUUUGAUUUAGACCUGUGAGCCCCUUUAAUUUAACAAAAAUGGUUCACUGUACAGCCUUUGACAAUGAACAAACCCCCUUUUUCCCGACAGUGGUUUAAAUAACAGCACAACAUUUGAACGAAUUGUAAACAUUUGUUGCAAUGGGCUUAACUCAAAAGACUGCAACAAGGAACCAAACAUCAACCGGUAAUAUGUAAAUCAUAGACACAAAGC
rnacentral:lncRNA from 1 species